AGAUCUUAUUGUCAUUGUACAUGAAAUUAUCUGCAAACCAGCAAAGUGCAUCAGUCUGAGGUAUCUAAAAAUAAAUAAGUAAAGAAAAAUGCUUCUAAAGCCAAUAAUAAACAGAAUAUUUUGAGGGAAUAUUCUAAAAAGGAAAGAAAAGCUCCAUUCUCACUCCUCUCAGGAUAAACUGUCAUUAAAAUUGACUUUAAAUUUAGCUUCAACAUGAGAUAAAAACAUUUACUUUCAUUACUGAUGUCAAGUUUUAAUAAAGUUCAUGCUACUUUUAUAAAAUGAUGAAAGUGAAUAAAUUGUAUUUCUGUGAUCUGUGUUUGAUUUCUGUCUUUUCUCCUGUCAUCCAGAUGUUCAGAGGGAGAUGAUGCCACAUCUGGUCCAGCCGAUGGAAGGUCUUGAAGUUCUCUGACUGGCCUCGACUGAAGAUGGUCGUCUCACUGGAUUUAAGGUUCAGAUGCUCAGUAACAAACUCCACCAAUGAGCCAACAGGGAAGCUUUAGGUUUAUUAAAUGUUGCUAUGAAGGUAUCGCUGUUUUUCUUUGUGAAUGCAAUGUGCUCCAACUGAAACUUGAAUUAGAACUUAGAAGUAAAUCCUUCCAUCUGAAAGGAUUUAGUUGCAUUAAUAACCUCAUAACAUUCUAAUUUUUAUUCCCGUCUUGGUUGAAAAUAGAAUCUCUGUAUUGAUUCAGGUAAAAACUGAACUUCACAGCAUGUUGAAGCAAAACAACCAGAUGAAAACUGUGAUGGUGUUGGAUUGUCAGACCGUAAUGUUGCAGCUCAAAGCAGCUUUUCUAUCUCAGUUCAUUCUGACAUUCAGCUAUGAAUCAACACAGCAGAUGGUGAUCCAUGCUGUGGAAGUCUCACAUCUCCUGAUUUAAUGGAGCUGCUUUGCACUUUUUACACUGUUUAUUCACCAACACUUUAUUUAAUAAAAGUCCCAUCUAGUUUUUAUGAGGAAUGUGAUGUUUUAAUUUCUCUGUGAAUAACUGCAGUCUAAUGCAACAGCUGGAGUUGUAACAUCUGUCCUGAUAUUGAUCAUGAAGUAUUGAUCAGAAUACUUAUGGUCAGCAGUCAUCCCUGAAGUUUUACAUUAAAAUCUUUACUUGUGUUGUGAACUUUGGUAAGAAGCAGAAACGUUAGCGUUGCCAUGGAUACAUGAGUGUUAAAUUCUGUCCAUGUUUCCAUUUUGGGAAAUUCAGUCCAGUUCCAGAAUGUGGAGGAAUUUAGUCUCAAUCACAGACAACAAAUAUUAUCUGAAAGUCGGGUUAUUGUUGUUUAUCAGCACAAUACAAAAAGAUUAAUGUUAGAAAUAUUCCAGUUAAGACUCUAGAAUAUCAUGAUUUAUGUAAAUUUACCUCAAUAAUAUGAAUGUUCAGGUUAAGAUUGUACAGUGAUAUUUAUUAUGUAAGUUUAGCUGAUUAAAGUUUAUGACUCUGCACUAAAAUAUUAUUUAAAUUGACAUCAUUAUUAUAAUAUUUAGGGUCAGACCCUACAGUAUUGAGAUUAAGAAAUCAAAUAUUCUAUAAAAUGUAAAUACACUGAACUCAUUUGGAUAUAUUUAAGUGAGACUCUACAAUAUUAUUUGACACAAAUCUAUCUAAAUCAAAAUUUUAAUAAUUUUCACGCCAAACAUUUACUGGACUGAUUUAAACAUUAAAAUCACUCCUUUCUAAUCCUCUGCUGUACGUUCAAACCUGAGGCCUUAAAUAGAAACACACAAGUAUCUGAUUGAAGGAACUUCUGCAGAGUCCUGGUUCCAGAACAUGAUGAUAGAAUUAUAGACAAACUUUAACAAAAGCUGCCUGAGAGUUUACAGGUUUUUAUGUUAGAUUUCUUCAGUAAUUUAAUGAGCGUUAUCAGCAAAAAUCAAGUGUUCAUUUGAUGAACUUCAUUUCCUAAAACAUCCAGAAUUGGAGCUCAUAUCUUUGGCAGCUGUAAAGUUUCUGCUCCUUCAAAGUUCACAACACAAUGAAUGAAUUCCUAAAACACUCUCAAUGCUGGAGAGCGUUUGUGAUGCUGAAGCAGUGACCAGUUUUUCUGUUUCUUCUCUGGAGAUGCACAAUGAGGGACGUCUGCAGAGACUGAGAAAGAGUCUCACCACAUCCUGACAUGAGGAAAAAGACUUUAUUGAAGACUACAAUGAGAAAAACUAUCAGACAGCAGACGGCUGCAUUCAAGUCUGUAGCUGCUGAAUUCAUGGAUGAAUCAUCUGGCACUAGAGAGGAAGACCAUCAAACAUCCACGUCAGCUGAUGGAGGUCCAAGAGUCUCACCCAACAACCAACCUACAGAGUGAAGACCUCAAAUCUGAUUGGACGGCCUCCUAUUCAGCCACAUUUUAGGCUGUUAGAUUGUUCCAGAUAAGACAAGUACAAGAUUCUUCAGAGCCGUUCUACCACGAGCCUGACAGGAAGAACUCCAACAGCUACUGAAUGUUCCUGUGGUCCCCUCAAGGCUACAGGAGGAGUCCUACGAGGACGAGCCGGUCCACCUGAUGGAGGCCAGUCGCUGCAGGUUCAAAGCCAACACCGACUACGUGGACUUCUACUGGACCACACGGAGGCCUUCAAACCAGACCAACAAGUUCAGCGACUCCCCGACUCGUGGGUCUGAGGACGCCACCGAGCCUCGGUCCAGCCGGCCUCCUGUCUGUGGGUGUUUGAGUGCUGAGAGGUUUGUGGAUGUAUGUGAACGUGUCUGUGUUGAAACAGCAGCUUUUGACUCACUAACGCCAGGAAAAACCAAGAGCUCCUUUAUUUGUGACUUCCACUAAAAAAACUGAUGAAAAUAAGUUUGCCAGGGUUCUGACUGAUGACAGAUUAUUAAAUAAUGAAAAUAAUCAUUUAAAUAUUCCUUUAAACAAUCCUUUUAGGUCUACAUUUCCUUUACACUGACUUCUUGGUAUAUGUACAAGUAUUUUGGGUGGAAUAUACCAUUAAGCCUAAUGUUCAAGGAUUUUUCUGGGAAUAUACCAUUAAACCAACCUUUUAGGUAAAUGUUCCAGGAUGUUGGGUAGAAUAUACCAUCAGAUAAACCUUUUAGGUCUAAAUUAGAAGAUUUUAGAGUAGAAUAUUACUCCAAACCAUCCUUUAGGUCUACAUUUAAGGUGGAAUACUCCUUUACACCAAGAUUUUUUGGUCUAGGAUUUUGGAUGGAAUACUCAGUUAAACCAACAUUUUAGGUGCAUGUCCAAGGAUUUUUGGUGGAAUGUUCCUUUAAGGUCGAUGUGUGAGGACCUUGUAGGUGGAAUACUUCCUGAAACCAACCUUUUAGGUCAACAUUCAAAGAUUUAAGGUGGAAUAUUCCUUUAAACCAACCUAAAUUUCAUGUUUUGAUUAAGUGUUUUAUCAAGUGAGAAACCUCAAUCCAGACUCCUCAUAAUGACGUUUGAGAUUUAUGCUGCUGUUAUUUGUUUAGUCCAGACUAAAUGACAGAAAUCCACAACUGUAAUUUUAUUUCAGGACUCGGUUAUUAAAUGCCAAAACAAUCCAUGUGACUCUAAAAACUCAACAGCUGUACAAACUCUAAGAUUAAACUCUCCACAAGGAUCCAAAAUAAGUUGGACUUCUACAUGAGAGCUUUAAUUAUUCUUCAUCUACUUCCUGAAAAGUUUGGUCAAUAAAAGACAAAAACUAGUAUUUUCAGCUGAACUAAAGACAGACUUUGUGAUUUUUCUGCUCACAUGUUGUGUUGUUGUAAACUUACUCUUUCAAAUAAAUAGCCGCCUAACCCCCUGGAAACCAGCGUUUGUCCUGUUUUUGUGUUGCUUCCUCAGCGACCCUAGACAGCCGGGUCGUAAUGUUUUUUGAGCAACACACCAUACUAUGACGUUUUUACAAUGAUGGUUCUACUAUGGAACCAGUUUGACAUGUUCAGGCGUUCUUUGUGUGAAAACUCAGAGAUUUCAGGUAUCAGAAGGUGGUUUUCAACUUUCUUUGUUAACUUUCUGCUUCAACUUUAAACUAAAUUUCCUUCACUAACCCAGCCCUCUGGACUUCCAGUAAGCUGUGUUCCUAUUGGCUGUCCAGGUGGCUGCUUGGUGUUAUCAGGAACACCUGAGCAGCUCAGUGUCUUCCUGCUUUAUUUGGCAACA